rnacentral:misc_RNA from 1 species
CUGAAUGUCUUAGGUUCAAGAGGUCCAAGAAGAAUGCAGUGCAUUAUGGAUGCCAUCCCUGCCUCUUCUAUUGAACCUGGUGGAGUGGCCCCUACGCAAACUGAGUUUUUGCAUAGCAAUUUGGAUUCCUUUACCUCACUUCCCUUUUUCAGAUCAAAAUCUACCCGCACAGAGAAUUUGCAAUCUGUUCCUUUGGCAGGCUAUAAAGAUGGAAUGCUAGUCCUAAGGAAUAAGGCACCCAGGUGGCAUGAACAACUCCAGUGUUGGUGCCUGAACUUCAAUGGACGGGUUACAGUUGCUUCAGUUAAGAACUUCCAGCUGGUUGCUUCUCCAGAUAAUGGAGUUGGCAGGCCAGAGCAUGAGAAUGUAAUUCUUCAGUUUGGAAAAGUGGGAAAAGAUGUCUUCACCAUGGAUUAUCAGUAUCCAAUCUCUGCUUUCCUGGCAUUUGCUAUAUGCCUUAGCAGCUUUGACACCAAGAUUGCUUGUGAAUGACAGACAAGCAGGUGUGAAUCCAGUGGCGUAAAAACUCCCCAUUUUCAUACGAAGAGACCUUUCUGAUCAUAUUUGUUUUUGCUGUUUGUGCUCUUCUUGACCUUCUGAAAUUUGUUUUAUUGCUUGCCCCCCUUUUUUGCACAACUAUGCUAUUCUUAUUCAAUAAACUCUUUUUCCCGUAAUACCUUCUGUCCAUUUUGAAUUUUCAACCUUAU